UGUGUGUGUGUCUGUCUGUCUGUCAGUGAAUGUGUGUGUCACACACACAUUCACUGACAGACAGACACACACACACA